GACAGAGGUGCCGAGCGUUAGGCGGAAUCACUGGGCUUAAAGCGUGUGUAGGCGGACCGUUAAGUACCUUGUGAAAUCCCCCGGCUCAACCGGGGAACGGCUGGGUAUACUGGCGGUCUUGAGCCAUCCAGGGGCAGUCGGAACAGACGGUGGAGCGGUGAAAUGCGUAGAUAUCGUCUGGAACGCCGAAGGUGAAAACAGACUGCUGGGGAUGGCGCUGACGCUGAGACACGAAAAGCCAGGGGGAGCCGGAACGG
rnacentral:rRNA from 1 species